rnacentral:rRNA from 1 species
UUUACCAGACCCGGAAGGCGCGGGGCCUUAGGUGGCGGACGGGUGAGUAACGCGUGGGGAACCUGCCCCGUACCGGGGGAUAACACCUGGAAACAGGUGCUAAUACCGCAUAACAGAAGGGGACGCAUGUUUCUUUCUUGAAAACUCCGGUGGUACGGGAUGGACCCGCGUCUGAUUAGCUGGUUGGCGGGGUAACGGCCCACCAAGGCGACGAUCAGUAGCCGGCCUGAGAGGGCGGACGGCCACAUUGGGACUGAGACACGGCCCAAACUCCUACGGAAGGCAGCAG